CCAGUUCAGCUAUACCAAUGCACAAUAGGGGUGUGGGUAUUUAUACCUACCCAAAUGGGUAUCAAAGAAUAGCUACUCCUAUAUCACAACAUUUCCCCACACCACAGAGGCAAAGACCUCCUGCAGCUUUCUAUUCUGAUCAUGGGGGUGAGCAAACCAUCUACUCCUUCCCUGCACAUGACUUCCCAUUGUCACAGACUCAACCAAGUCAAGGACACACAAUAUCAAGCCAAGCAUUGCAGGAUCUUGCAAUGGCUAGAAGAUUAGAAAAAAGACCAUGAGAAAAAUACCUUUUUGUUGAGAAGAGUCAGCUAUGGUGGAGCAACAGAGAAAAAACACAGAGCAGAAGAUGGAGAAGAAAGAAUUUUUUUUUUAAGUGUUUUAUUGUUGUUUUGUUG